ACUUUACUUGACUAAUCUUUAUUUUCUUUGUUAAUUUUGUAAUUUUCAAUUUAGUUUUUAUUGAUCUCGUAACUCUCUCAAAAGCUAGUCAGGUUCUUAAUUGAGUUUCUAAUUCUUGGGCUUUUGUUUUUGUUGGGCUAUUUUUUUUAGCAUAUAUAUA